AUGGCAAAUUUAGGGACUAUUUCAUAUACAAACCGUGGCAAAAAUGUGUUAAAAAAGCUCAUAGUAGCAUCUAGCAAAAAAAAUCAUCAGACAUCAGUAAAAAUGGGACCAGUCGGAUCCCUUCGGCUGUGGUGUUGCUCGAGCUCGAUGAGCACCUCCCCGCCGGGCUCCCUUCUUAGAAUGGACGCCGACACGCUGUCGGUGAGGAGCCCAUUGCCCCCUCCACGGACACAUGGCGCUGUCCCAGGGAACUCGUCGCAGGGCACCCGCCUCCGCUUUCCGCCCGGUGCACGCCGGGAAGCCGUCGCUGCCUCCCCCAAGUCACCUGACGAGAGCGAAGAUGGUACGAUGCUUCAUUGCUCCGCCGCCGUUGCUGCUCCUGUACGGCCCAGCCACCGCCGCGGCCGCCCUCUCCGUUUGACCGCACCUUGA
rnacentral:rRNA from 1 species